AGUUUACACAGUGGCUAUGAAGAGAGUUCAUAAUUUAACCCAAAGUGCACAGAGAAGGGUAAGGGCACUGAUUAGGACCUGGGGGGGUGACCUGCAUCACCUUACACAAGCACUCAUCUAUAUGAUCUUCCCUUAAUGCUGAGCAAAACGGAUGAUGUAAAUACACAAAACCACUGUAGAUCCUAUGAUUAGAUCCUAUGAUUAUAUGGGGGAUGACAUAUAUAAUUGAGGAAUCAAUACAAGCAUAUAUAUUUUUAUGUACUAAAUUUAUAGCUGACCUGUUUUAUUUCUCAAUGGCAAAGUCAUGGUGCAUUAAAGUGUACCUCUCAAAUUUAAUACAAUACGACAAUGCACUGGAGAUCUUUAAACUGAGAUGAUGAGUCAGGUAUUCUGGUCUGGGUCCUGAGUUUCUGCAUUUCCAGCAGGCUCACCAAUGAUGCUAAGGGCCACAUUUUUGAGUUACAAAGCAUGGGAAAAUAUUCAUGGGGCUUUGAACUAGAAGCUUUAUGGCAAAUGCAGUCUCUAGUAUCACAACAAGAAAGGCAACCAUAACCUUUUUAGAAUUUACUAUAUGCUAGAUGGCGCUCUAACAGCUUUUCAUGAACUGAUGCAUAAUACAUAAGAAUAAUCCAUGAAAAAAAUAUUAAUCUCCCUCAUUUAUGAGAAUAUUUUGUUAAGCAUCCAGUAAAUGGUAGAGCCUGGGUUUUAACCCAGUUUACCUAACCUAGAAUUUAUCCAAGAAGGCACUUGUAUCAAUAUUUACAACCAUACUGUCACACUGGAUUUAUUGUCCAGUCAGAUUUUUCUCAUUUACAGAGCAGGCUCUUCAGCCAGGACUUGACUGCAUAGUCACGGAAGGACAUCUCCAUCGAGACUCACAUUAACAGGCAUAGACAUAAGCUGACUACUGUUCCCUCCAGACAGGGGAACAGAUGCACAAACAGACGCACAGAUAAACCACGUGGCGGAAGCCACACGAGAGGGGACUGCGGGGGCGCCGACCCGGACCCCCGCCCCCGGAGCUUCUGCGGCCUCCACGCCAGGCCACCUCCAGUGACGCCCACGAGGACACAAAGCUCAGAGCGUCGCACCGGAGUGGGGUCUCCUGAAGAGCGGAGCAUCGAAAACUACUUCCAUUAUAAGUCAAACCUGUGAACCUGUAUUACGGAUUCCCUCUUCAAGGCUUCUGUCUUCCUCACCAGAAUCACUCCACUUCUACUAUGUGUUUAGACUAUUUUCACUUGAGUUUCAACCAAAGGUGUGAAGAAAACAUCGUCACUUUCUUCCCUGAAAAACUUUAGGAAAUAACCCCGAGAGAACUGUGAAAGCUUAGAGGGCUCUUGCUCCGGCCCCUGACGGGCAGGCUGAGGGUCUCCGGCAGGAGCCGGCCAGGCGAGGACACGGGGUCACCUUAACAUGGGAAAAGACUUCUUCAAAAGAACAAAACACCUUAACCAUAAGGAAGAAAUGACAAAUUGAUCCUAUUUGAAUUAAGAGUUGGUGCUCAGCAAAAGGCACCUAGACAGGUAUUAGCUGGACAGAUGGCGGAGCGGUGGAACGGGCACCAGGAAUAGACUCACAGUCUGCAUGUGUGAGUGUCUCCUGUAAAUCACAAGGGGAAGACAGGCAGCACAACUGGGAAAAAAUGGUAAAAUAAAUGAACAGACACUUCAGAAGAAGGGUUUACCCAGUGGUUAAUAGACAUGGGAAAGGCUGCUCACGUUCCUUACUCAUCAAGCAAAUGCAAAUAAAGCCACCACCAGGGACCCCUGCACCGUCACCCGAUGCUACAACAGGAAUGACAGAGAACAUCACCGGGGGACGAGGAGGCAAGUAAACCAAGAAUAUCAUCACCUGCUGCCGGGUGUGAAACGAACACACACAUUUUUGGAAAAUUGUCUCUUAAAGCUGAACAGAUGUAAACCUCAGAACCAACA